rnacentral:Y_RNA from 1 species
GACUGGUCUGAUGGUAGUGGGUUAUCAGAACUUAUUAACUUUAGUGUCACUAAAGUUGGUAUACAAACCCCCCACUGGUAAAUUUGAUUAGCCAAAA